rnacentral:antisense_RNA from 1 species
UUUGAUCGAUCCCAGCCACAGCGGCUGCUCGGCCAGGCGUUCGUGUCCGUAGGUGGCCAGCAGCGCCUGCGCCUC